rnacentral:rRNA from 1 species
UUGACCUCAAAUCAGGUAGGACUACCCGCUGAACUUAAGCAUAUCAUAG